rnacentral:rRNA from 1 species
AGUGAACGCUGGCGGUAGGCCUAACACAUGCAAGUCGAACGGCAGCCCAGUAAGAGCUUGCUCUUACGGGUGGCGAGUGGCGGCCGGGUGAGGAAUACAUCGGAAUCUCCUUUUUCGUGGGGGAUAACGUAGGGAAACUUACGCUACUACCGCAUACGACCUACGGGUGAAAGCAGGCGAUCUUCGGACCUUGCGCGAUUGAAUGAGCCGAUGUCGGAUUAGCUAGUUGGCGGGGUAAAGGCCCACCACGGCGACGAUCCGUAGCUGGUCUGACAGGAUGUUCAGCCACACUGGAAGUGAGACACGGUCGAGACUCCGACGGGGGGAAGCAGUGGGGAAUAUUAGACGAUGGGGGAAAGGGUGAUCCAGGAAUACCGCGUGAGUGAAGAAGGCCUUAGGGUUGUAAAGCGCUGUUGUUGGGAAGGAAGAGAAGCAGGUUAGUACCCCGCUGUUAUGACGGUACCCAAAGAAGAAGCACCGGCUAACUUCGUG